rnacentral:rRNA from 1 species
UACGGGGGGGGCAAGCGUUGUUCGGAAUUACUGGGCGUAAAGGGCGCGUAGGCGGCCAUCUAAGUCAGACGUGAAAUCCCUCGGCUUAACCGGGGAACUGCCUCUGAUACUGGAUGGCUUGAGAUUGGGAGAGGGAUGCGGAAUUCCAGGUGUAGCGGUGAAAUGCGUAGAUAUCUGGAGGAACACCGGUGGCGAAGGCGGCAUCCUGGACCAACACUGACGCUGAGGAGCGAAAGCCAGGGGAGCAAACGGG